UGGCGCUAGACGGGGAGCUAGCGGUGCCCUUUACCUGCAAUCCGCUUUAUGCAGGGUUGAAUUCCUCUCCCAGGUUAUUUUGCCUCAGGACUGACAAGAUUAAGCAGCGUUGAAAGUUGGGCUCCACGCGGCAAACCCUGACCAACCCCGCCAGGCCCGGAAGGGAGCAACGGUCCAUCAGGCUCUUUGCAGGCCGUGGGUUUCCUGACUGGAGCAGGCUGGUUUUGUAACGCUCAGGUAAAAUCAAUCAAAGAGAGGUGCGCCA
rnacentral:SRP_RNA from 1 species